UGGAGACUGGCGCGGGCGAAGGCCUCGCCAACUCGGUCAGGUCCGGAAGGAAGCAGCCGCAACGAGCUCCCCUUCGGGUCGCUGUCCAGUCUCCACCU
rnacentral:SRP_RNA from 1 species